AGGACGAACGCUGGCGGCGUGCUUAACACAUGCAAGUCGAGCGGAAAGGCUCUUCGGGGUACUCGAGCGGCGAACGGGUGAGUAACACGUGAGCAACCUGCCCUUAGCUCCGGGAUAGCUCCGGGAAACCGGAUUAAUACCGGAUACGACCACGGCCGACAUCUGCUGUGGUGGAAAGGAUUCCGGCUAAGGAUGGGCUCGCGGCCUAUCAGCUAGUUGGUGGAGUAACGGCCCACCAAGGCGACGACGGGUA
rnacentral:rRNA from 1 species